UUUUGAACUAUUUUAUUAAAUAGUUAAAAGCAUUAUAUAAAAUAUUAACUAUUUUUUGAAUGUUAAAAUUUUUUUAAUAUCAUUCUUAAAUAAAUAAACUAAACAAAUAAAGCUACAUUCUUCGCGCAUUUUAAAGUAUUGCCCAAUGAGAAGCAAAAGAAUAACGCAUUACAUUCCAUUCUGUUUCGUUCUGCCACCAUAUCGAAUGCAUUCGUAACCGGUUAGCUUUUGCGAACGCCACCUUACUACGCUGUAGAAUUGUGAACGAACCAGCAUUGAUUCUAUUUGUAUCUGCCAUUUUGCAACUCGACUGCAUCUUUUCAUUCAAAAAUCUAAUUUCCGGAAAUAGAAAUUUAAUUGGAUGUAAAUCCAUUGUGGGACGGUGUCCCUUAAUAAUAGACCGACAACCGGUCUCAAACGAUUUUGGAAAUUUGUCCACGUCCACAAUCAACGACAAGAAGCUGUAACAAGAAAAAGAUAAAUUUUUUUUCUACCUUACCAUCCUGACUAGUGAGUCAUAAUUACACGGUAAUGACAUUUGUGUCACACGCGGUACACUACGUUUCACCUGCUAAGCGUUUUCUCAAGUUCAAUUGGUGGACAGUUUUAUUUACACUGGACCAUUUUUACUCGCCUACUAGCCUUGUCCUCUCUUAAAGAUACAUAAUGCCAAUGUAUCAUUAAUGAAAUAAAAUAAUUUUUGUUAUAUUUAAUUUUUAAAAAGAUUUUUUAAAGUAUUGAACAAAAUUAAAAUAUUGUUAAAAUGAUGGACAUUGAUCCUCCACAAUUUGUGUCCAAAGAUGAUGAAAUUCAAUAUUGGAUGGAACUUGCUCAUCAAAUACAUAGAAGGAAAGAGGAUAUAGAAAGAGAAUUGGAAGAAUUUCAAGAAAAUUCACAAUUGUUAGAAAAAGAACUGGAAGCAUCAUUAGAACAAGCAGAAAAAACUAACAGAGAAUUACGACAACGAAAUACAAGACUGGCUACUGAAGUUGAACAAUUAAGAACAAGAUUAGAUCAACAAACAGCAGAUUGUGCAAUGUUUCAAGGAAAAGCUCAGGACUUACAGACACAACAUGAUCAUUUAUUAAAAUAUAUAAGAGAAUUAGAACAAAAGAAUGAUGACUUAGAAAGAGCUCAUAGAAUAAAUAGGGUAACAGAAGAGGAAAUAGAAGCUAAACUUAAUUCUGCUAUUGAAAAGAAUGCUUUAUUAGAAUCAGAGCUUGAUGAAAAAGAAGCUUUAAAAGUUAUAGUACAAAGACUAAUGGAUGAAAUAAGAGAUUUAAAACAGGAAAUUCAAGUACAAGAAAGGCAUCAACCAGAUAAUGAUAAAUCAGCUGAUAGAAUUCGGAAUCAUGUUGAUAGUAAUAAACUUCAAGUUGAAUUGGAAGCACACAUGUCGCCUAGUAGUCCAAUAGUACCACAAUCCAUAUCUCCAAAUAAUACAACAACUUCACCAUUAAAAAUUGGAAACAAAGUUGUAGGAGGUAUAACUGGAAACAACAAUAACAAUAAUAAUGUGAAUCCACCACUGACACCAUGCACAAGAAUACUAGCAAUGAAUAUGAUUGGUGAUCUUAUGAGGAAAGUUGGUCUUGACAGAUGGGUCUGCAUGGAGUGCAGAAGGGUAAAGUGCACUUGUCUGAGUGAGAAAAAUACAAUUUCCACUACACCUACUGAUUUACCAUCCAUCCAGGUUUAUACAUCUCCUCAUUGUAUAUGGCAACAACCUAGAUCAACCAAGUGCUGAUCAAGUUUUUGUGUACAGGCAUUGGAGAAUAAAUUAAAUACAUGUCAAAAUCCAUCUCGAGAGGAUCAAGCUGUCCGUGAUCUUUACAGGACUAGACGCCAAGUUCGAGGUUUUGCCUCUGGCAACUGCAACCACAUUCGAUUAUAAACAACGGAUAAUAUUCCAACAAAAAAUUUUGUGCAUUAUAUUUGUACUGCUAUACAUGUUAUUUAACUAAAAAAAUCUCAUUUGCUAAUUUAUUAUAAAUCUAUAUGAAAAA
rnacentral:misc_RNA from 1 species